AGGUAACACCACCUCUCCAUUGUA
rnacentral:siRNA from 1 species